ensembl:lncRNA
CGCAUGGUAACUGGCUUCGGUCGGACGUCCGCGGGCCGACUUCAAAGCCGCGGGGCCUGUUUUUCACGCUGCCUGUGGAGUGGAGGGAUCCAACUGUGGACGUGCAGAGAAAAGGCAGAAUGAUCUCCAGCAGGUACCACGCGCCAUCUACUGGAGCCCGAAGCGGCUCCAUCCUUCAACAAGCUGCUGCAGCACAAAGCUGCGUUUCACAUAUACGGUGAAUUUAAACCAUAUGGAAGACCUACAUGUUUCGAGACUACUGCUUAAAUUCAUUAAGUACAAAAUAAAAAAUGGC